rnacentral:rRNA from 1 species
CAGGCGCGAAACCUCUGCAAUAGGCGAAAGCUUGACAGGGUUACUCUGAGUGAUUUCCGUUAAGGAGAUCUUUUGGCACCUCUAAAAAUGGUGCAGAAUAAGGGGUGGGCAAGUCUGGUGUCAGCCGCCGCGGUAAUACCAGCACCCCGAGUGGUCGGGACGUUUAUUGGGCCUAAAGCAUCCGUAGCCGGUUCUACAAGUCUUCCGUUAAAUCCACCUGCUUAACAGAUGGGCUGCGGAAGAUACUAUAGAGCUAGGAGGCGGGAGAGGCAAGCGGUACUCGAUGGGUAGGGGUAAAAUCCGUUGAUCCAUUGAAGACCACCAGUGGCGAAGGCGGCUUGCCAGAACGCGCUCGACGGUGAGGGAUGAAAGCUGGGGGAGCAAACCGGAUUAGAUACCCGGGUAGUCCCAGCUGUAAACGAUGCAGACUCGGUGAUGAAUUGGCUUAUUGCUAAUUCAGUGCCGCAGGGAAGCCGUUAAGUUGCCG